rnacentral:rRNA from 1 species
UACGGGGGGGAGCAAGCGUUGUUCGGAUUUACUGGGCGUAAAGGGCGCGUAGGCGGCCAGCACAAGUCAGUUGUGAAAUCUCCGAGCUUAACUCGGAAAGGUCAACUGAUACUGUGCGGCUAGAGUGCGGAAGGGGCAACUGGAAUUCUUGGUGUAGCGGUGAAAUGCGUAGAUAUCAAGAGGAACACCUGCGGCGAAGGCGGGUUGCUGGGCCGACACUGACGCUGAUGCGCGAAAGCCAGGGGAGCGAACGGG